rnacentral:rRNA from 1 species
AUUGAACGCUGGCGGCACGCCUAACACAUGCAAGUCGAGCGGUAACAGGAGCUGUAGCAAUACAGUUUGCUGACGAGCGACGGACGGGUGAGGAAAACGUAGGAACCUACCCUCGAGCGGGGGACAACCAAGGGAAACUUUGGCUAAUACCGCAUAAACUCGCAAGAGCAAAGCUUCCGCAAGGAGGCACUCGAGGAAGGGCCUGCGUCCGAUUAGCUAGUUGGAGAGGUAAAAGCUCUCCAAGGCGAUGAUCGGUAACUGGUCUGAGAGGACGGCCAGUCACACUGGGACUGAGACAAGGCGCAGACUCCUACGGGAGGCAGCAGUGGGGAAUAUUGGACAAUGGGGGCAACCCUGAUCCAGCGAUGCCGCGUGGGUGAAGAAGGCCUUCGGGUUGUAAAGCCCUUUAGGUUGGGAAGAAGUGUAUUGAUUGAUAAGGUUGAUACAUUGACGGUACCGACAGAAUAAGGACCGGCUAACUACGUGCCAGCCGCCGCCGUAACAC